rnacentral:rRNA from 1 species
UACGUAGGGGGCUAGCGUUGUCCGGAUUUAUUGGGCGUAAAGAGCGUGUAGGCGGCCAAGUCGGUCCGGUGUGAAAACUCGAGGCUUAACCUCGAGAUGUCAUCGGAAACCAUUUGGCUAGAGUCCGGAAGAGGAAAGUGGAAUUCCUGGUGUAGCGGUGAAAUGCGCAGAUAUCAGGAGGAACACCGGUGGCGAAGGCGGUUCUCUGGGCAUGAUCUGACGCUGAGGAGCGAAAGUGUGGGGAGCGAACAGG